AGGGUUGUAGCCCAGUGGUAUAAGCAUCUGCUUUGCAUGCAGAAGGUCGCAGGUUCAAUCCCUGGCAUCUCCA